rnacentral:rRNA from 1 species
GAUUAUGGCUCAGGAUGAACGCUGGCGGCGUGCUUAACACAUGCAAGUCGAACGAAGCAAUUUUCUACGAUCCCUUCGGGGUGACGGAUUAUGACUGGAGUGGCGGACGGGUGAGGUAACGCGUAGGGUAACCUGCCUUGUACAGGGGGACAACAGUUGGAAACGACUGCUAAUACCGCAUAAGCGCACAGCAUCGCAUGAUGCAGUGUGAAAAGUUUUUUCGGUACAAGAUGGACCCGCGUCUGAUUAGCUAGUUGGUGAGGUAACGGCCCACCAAGGCGACGAUCAGUAGCCGACCUGAGAGGGUGACCGGCCACAUUGGGACUGAGACACGGCCCAAACUCCUACGGGAGGCAGCAGUGGGGAAUAUUGCACAAUGGGCGAAAGCCUGAUGCAGCGAACCGCCGCGUGAGCGAAGAAGUAUUUCGGUAUGUAAAGCUCUAUCAGCAGGGAAGAUAAUGACGGUACCUGACUAAGAAGCACCGGCUAAAUACGUGCCAGCCGCAGC